rfam:Zea mays cultivar B73 chromosome 1, whole genome shotgun sequence.
UGGCUAUGAUGAUAAAAUGUUUGUUUCUCGAUGCUGAGACUUGAAUUAUUCAAGGACUAUAUUUUGAUGAGCUCUGUGUGUGUCUGAGCCAG